ACCAUACCUUGAAAAUGAAAGGGGGGGGGCUUAAAAGCAGAUCGAACGAUGAUCUCCAGCUUGCUGGGGGGAUUAGUGGCGAACGGGUGAGUAACACGUGAGUAACCUGCCCUUGACUCUGGGAUAAGCCUGGGAAACUGGGUCUAAUACCGGAUAUGACCAUCUGGCGCAUGUCAUGGUGGUGGAAAGCUUUUGUGGUUUUGGAUGGACUCGCGGCCUAUCAGCUUGUUGGUGGGGUAAUGGCCUACCAAGGCGACGACGGGUAGCCGGCCUGAGAGGGUGACCGGCCACACUGGGACUGAGACACGGCCCAGACUCCUACGGGAGGCAGCAGUGGGGAAUAUUGCACAAUGGGCGAAAGCCUGAUGCAGCGACGCCGCGUGAGGGAUGACGGCCUUCGGGUUGUAAACCUCUUUCAGUAGGGAAGAAGCGAAAGUGACGGUACCUGCAGAAGAAGCGCCGGCUAACUACGUGCCAGCAGCCGCGGUAAU
rnacentral:rRNA from 1 species